rnacentral:tRNA from 1 species
GGGGGUGUAGCUCAGUGGUGGAGAGUUUGCCUGCCAUGCACAAGGCCCUGGCUUCAUCCCAGCACCUCCU